rnacentral:rRNA from 1 species
AUUGAACGCUGGCGGCAUGCCUUACACAUGCAAGUCGAACGGUAACAGGUCUUCGGAUGCUGUCGAGUGGCGAACGGGUGAGUAAUACAUCGGAACGUGCCCGAUCGUGGGGGAUAACGAAGCGAAAGCCUUGCUAAUACCGCAUAAGAUCUACGGAUGAAAGCAGGGGACCGCAAGGCCAUGUGCGAACGGAGCGGCCGAUGGCAGAUUAGGUAGUUGGUAGGGUAAAGGCCUACCAAGCCAACGAUCUGUAGCUGGUCUGAGAGGACGACCAGCCACACUGGAACUGAGACACGGUCCAGACUCCUACGGGAGGCAGCAGUGGGGAAUUUUGGACAAUGGGCGAAAGCCUGAUCCAGCCAUUCCGCGUGCAGGAUGAAGGCCCUCGGGUUGUAAACUGCUUUUGUACAGAACGAAAAGGUCUCUAUUAAUACUGGGGGCUCAUGACGGUACUGUAAGAAUAAGCACCGGCUAACUACGUGCCAGCCGCCGCGGUAAUAC